rnacentral:rRNA from 1 species
UACGUAGGGUGCGAGCGUUAAUCGGAAUUACUGGGCGUAAAGCGUGCGUAGACGGUUAUUUAAGUCGGGUGUGAAAGCCCCGGGCUCAACCUGGGAAUUGCAUUCGAGACUGAAUAGCUAGGGUACGGUAGAGGGAAGCGGAAUUUCCGGUGUAGCGGUGAAAUGCGUAGAUAUCGGAAGGAACAUCAGUGGCGAAAGCGGCUUCCUGGACCAGUACCGACGUCAGGCACGAAAGCGUGGGGAGCAAAC